CAUCACACAUGUUUUAGCAGGUUGUCUGCUUGUUACCUGGAUAAAUAAUACGAUUAACUAGGCAAACAGACAUUUCCUGGUUGCUGACAAAACGUUCGGUCUUCUCCCUCCAGCUUUUUAUCAACAGCAAAAUGAAUAUUUCUAGCUGAGUCGAUACGCAGGUGUAAGUGGGGAGUAAAUCGUGUACGUCCAAGUGACGAAACGUAAGAAAAUAAUGGUAACAAGUGUGCCGGUAUAGUAAAAAAAAAGGGAAAAUGGCCAUCGGGAAAAUAAAAUUUGACCACCCACGCAGUUGACGACAACUGUGUCAACGCCACGGUGGCGCCGUGCGCGCGUCUGUUUCUCUCACGCCAACCCGUUAACGAAAAAGAAUUACGCACUUGAAUCAAUAGACAUUAGGUUUUUUUAAUUAACAAACAACUCUUACCCCUGUAGCGCACCACACGUUCUCUAUUUUCGAAAAAAAAAAACAACUUUGGGAUCGAAAAGGUCAAUCUGUUUCAGAUCAACACGUCGCCACUUUGUUGUUGCUAAGGCCUUUUGCGUGUCAAAUCAACACAAUUGUCAUUUGUCUUAUGUUUCUAGAAUAUUUUCAUUAAAUGGGUCGGAACAACAUCAGACCAAGGUCGUUUUUGGAUGGACACAUCAAUGGCCGUGUCGCUAAGGCCCUUUUAUUCCCAUCAAAACAACACAUUAGAUGUUAAAGAGCACGUGACUUCUCCGUACUACAUAGACAUGUUAUGUUCUUUGCCAAAACGUACACCGAUCGACGUUAACUUGUUAAUUAUUAUUUUUCAAAUGCCCACAAUUGAGGUCUAGCAGACAGAGAAACGUGGGAAAAGGAGCGGAAUCGAAAUCACACACACACAAUCGCAAGAGUGUCGAUUGGCACGCAUCGCGAUCAGGUUGCGACGUCACGGCGUCGCAACAAUUCAGACCUACUGUAUACACACUUCUUUUGAACGAUAAUGAUCACGACCGAGAAAGCUCCCCUUUUUUUGGUUAAAAUGCUGACACAAAAGAAGAACCCGUUCCGCUGUCAGUUUAUUCGCCGUCGUUUAGAUACAAAAGAAAAACCCCGUGAUUCAAAAAGAGAGAAAUUGCCGCCAAAUGAAUGAAGGGACCACCCUUGAAGCUAAAAAGAAAAUCGGUCUCUCAAAUUGCCCUUAUAUCGAUACAAAUUUCAUUUGGACGAUGCCAACCGGUUAAGAAAUUCGGCUUUUAUUUUCUUUGAGGUCUGAAUAAAGACAUCGGAAUUCGUU